AAUUGGAGCAUUGUGUGCAAUGAAGGAAACAUAAAUAUUUUUUGAUGAUCCAAAAUUUGCAGAGUAUAAAGCAGUUAGAACAGGAGGAGUUGGAGUUCUCAGUUUGAUAUUUUGGAUUUGUUGGUUGUUUGUUGAAAGAAGUUGUUAAGAAGGAUGAAUGAGUUUAUUAUUUUUGUUGAAAUGUCUUAGGGUUUGGGGAUGGUGAUUCAGAAGUAAACAAAAAGAAAUAUGAGAUAAUGGUGUGUUACAAUUCAUUAUUGGUUGUGAUACAAUUCAUCAUCAUUUUUUUAAUAUUAUUAUUUUCGUUACAACA